rnacentral:rRNA from 1 species
UACAGAGGUCUCAAGCGUUGUUCGGAUUCAUUGGGCGUAAAGGGCGCGUAGGCUGCGGGGCAAGUCGGGUGUGAAAUCUCCGGGCUUAACUCGGAACGGCCAAGUGAUACUGUCAAGCUAGAGUGCAGAAAGGGCAAUCGGAAUUCUUGGUGUAGCGGUGAAAUGCGUAGAUAUCAAGAGGAACACCUGAGGCGAAGGCGGGUUGCUAGGCUGACACUGACGCUGAAGCGCGAAAGCCAGGGGAGCAAACGGG